CUCCUCCCACAUGGCUGCUGGCUCCUCCUAUAACUCAACGGGGCCCUCCCCCAGCACCCAACCAAUCACAACAACACGCUUAUUAUAACAAAAGAGCCAGAGAGUGGAGGAGUUCAGUCUGUGGUGGUCUCAGCCGACCCCCCUCUAGCCAAGGUGAACAACACACACACACACACACACACACACACACACACACACACACACACACACACACACACACACACACACCUUCCAAAUGGAUCGGGUCUGUAAUAUCAGACGUCACGUUGUUGUUGCUACCAGAGUGUGUGUGUGUUGUUGUCUAUAGGGAUAUCGUGUUCCAGUGAUGGGUCAACCCCAGUCUGACGGUCACUCCUCCCUGCAGAGGACAGGUCCUCCACCCAGGUCCAAUCCUCCCAGACUUCCUGAAGGACCAGUCCAUUGGGACAGAUACAGCCCCUCAGGUCGUGGCAGGAACCAUAGCGACCGCGCCCCUCCCUCC
rnacentral:lncRNA from 1 species